GAAAUGCGAUACGUAAUGUGAAUUGCAGAAUUCAGUGAAUCAUCGAAUCUUUGAACGCACAUUGCGCUCUCUGGUAUUCCGGAGAGCAUGCUUGUUUGAGUAUCAGUAAAACACCCUCAGCCUUUUCUUUAUUGAAAAAGCUGGACUUGAGUGAUCCCAACGGUUUUUUUUAAAAGGCUGGCGGGUUGCUUGAAAUGCAGGUGCGGCUGGACACAUCUUCUGAGCUAUAAGCAUUACCUAUUUAGUCCCGUCAAACGGAUUAUUUCUAUUGCUACAGCUAAUAUAAAGGUCGAUUGUCCUUGUGCCCGACUGAUGCAGGAAAACAUGGAGAAAUCCUUGUUCAACUCGAUCUCAAAUCAAGUAAGACUACCCGCUGAACUUAA
rnacentral:misc_RNA from 1 species